AAUGGGGUGCCUGAAAAAGGAUUACAAUGAUAGAGUAAAACAUGCAUCACAAAUGAUGCCCCCAUUA
rnacentral:tRNA from 1 species